rnacentral:rRNA from 1 species
AACGUAGGUGGCGAGCGUUAUCCGGAUUUACUGGGCGUAAAGCGUGUGCAGGUGGACGGUUAAGUGGUGUAUGAAAUCUCCCAGCUCAACUGGGAUAGGUUAUGCCAGACUGGUCGUCUAGGGUAUGGGAGAGGGAUGUGGAAUUCCGGGUGUAGUGGUGAAAUGCGUAGAGAUCCGGAGGAACCCCAGAGGCGAAGGCGGCAUCCUGGCCCAUUACUGACGCUGAGGCGCGAAAGCUAGGGGAGCAAACGGG